rnacentral:rRNA from 1 species
UAAGCGGAGGAAAAGAAACUAACAAGGAUUCCCUUAGUAACGGCGAGUGAACCGGGAAAAGCUCAAAUUUGUAAUCUGGCUGUCUUCGAUAGUCCGAGUUGUAAUCUAUAGACGUGUUUUCCGUGCUGGACCGUAUCUAAGUCCCUUGGAACAGGGUAUCAAAGAGGGUGACAAUCCCGUGCUUGAUACGACCACCAGUGCUCUGUGAUACACGCUCUACGAGUCGAGUUGUUUGGGAAUGCAGCUCAAAAUGGGUGGUAAAUUCCAUCUAAAGCUAAAUAUUGGCGAGAGACCGAUAGCGAACAAGUACCGUGAGGGAAAGAUGAAAAGCACUUUGGAAAGAGAGUUAAACAGUACGUGAAAUUGUUGAAAGGGAAACGAUUGAAGUCAGUCGUGUUCUUUGGAUUCAGCUAGUUCUUCUAGUCUACUUCCAUUGAACGGGUCAACAUCAGUUUUGUCCGGUGGAUAAAGAUAGUAGGAAUGUAGCUCCCUCGGGAGUGUUAUAGACUAUUAUUGCAUACACUGGGUGAGACUGAGGACUGCAGCUCGCCUUUUGGCCGGUCUUCGGACACGUUCGAGCUUAGGAUGUUGACAUAAUGGCUUUAAACGACCCGUCUUGAAACACG